UACAGAGGUCCCGAGCGUUGUUCGGAUUCACUGGGCGUAAAGGGUGCGUAGGCGGUCGGGUAAGUCUGAUGUGAAACCUCACAGCUUAACUGUGAAACUGCAUUGGAUACUAUUCGGCUUGAGAGUUGGAGGGGGGACUGGAAUUCUUGGUGUAGCAGUGAAAUGCGUAGAUAUCAAGAGGAACACCAGUGGCGAAGGCGAGUCCCUGGACAACUUCUGACGCUGAGGCACGAAAGCUAGGGGAGCAAACAGG
rnacentral:rRNA from 1 species